CAGUAGCCGCGGUAAUACGUAGGGUGCAAGCGUUGUCCGGAAUUAUUGGGCGUAAAGAGCUCGUAGGCGGUUUGCUACGUCGGAUGUGAAACCCUGAGGCUCAACCUCAGGCCUGCAUACGAUACGGGCUAACUAGAGUGUGGUAGGGGAGACUGGAAUUCCUGGUGUAGCGGUGAAAUGCGCAGAUAUCAGGAGGAACACCGGUGGCGAAGGCGGGUCUCUGGGCCAUUACUGACGCUGAGGAGCGAAAGCGUGGGGAGCAAACAGGAUUAGAUACCCCCGUAGUCCCUGUCUCUUAUAA
rnacentral:rRNA from 1 species